rnacentral:rRNA from 1 species
AUAAACAUAAAGAGCCGAACCUGCCCAAUGAUAUUUUUAAAUGGCCGCGGUACUCUGACCGUGCAAAGGUAGCAUAAUCAUUUGCCUUAUAAUUGAAGGCUAGUAUGAACGGUUUGACAAGAGUAGCACUGUCUCUACUAAAUUUUAUAGAAUUUGGUUUUUAGGUGAAGAAACCUAAAUAAAAUUGAAAGACAAGAAGACCCUAUCGAGCUUUAAAAAAUUUUUCUUAAAGAUUUUAGUUGGGGCGACUAAGGAACAACAAAAGCUUCUUUUUUAUAUAUAAACUUAUAUGUUUUGAUCCAAAAAAAUGAUUAAUAGAAUUAGUUACCGUAGGAUAACAGCAUAAUCUUUUUUGAGAGUUCUUAUCGAAAAAAAGGUUUGUGACCUCGAUGUUGGACUAGGAUAUCCUAAAGGUGUAGAAGCCUUUAAAGGUUGGUCUGUUCGACCAUUAACA